GCUGGUAUAGCUCAGUUGGUAGCGCGCACCCUUGGCUAGGGUGAGGUCGGCCGUUCGAAUCUGCCUAUCAGCACCA
rnacentral:tRNA from 1 species